AUGCCUAUUCUACAGGCAAAGCUCCGACCUCGGAGCUGGAGCUGCAGGGACAGGCCUGGGCCCAGCCGCUUCCGAGGGACAGGGCUGUGCGCCCCCAGGCCCGCGUUCCGGCUUCGUCCCGCCCUGCGCGGCCUCAGGGUCGUCCUUGGGGCGCAGAGGGAGCCACUGCGACCGCCGGGGGUGGGGGGGGGCGACGCUCGCCGCGCAGGGACCAGGCCCUGCCCCUGCCCCCGUCCCCAGGCACCGCGCGGGCCGCAGCCAGGGCUUUCCGCGACGCCCCGGGCCGCAAGUGCCACCGCAGGGGUCGCGGUUGGGCCGGGUCGGGGACGAGGUCGGGGCCGGGUCGGGGUCAGGCCUGGGUCGGGGUCGGGGUCGCGGUCGGGCCGGGGCGGGCGGGGGUCGCGGUCAGGGCGGGGUCCGGGCGGGGGCAAGGUCUGCCGGGGGCGGGGUCGGGCCGAGGUCACGGUCGGGCCGGGGGCAGGGUCGGACCCGGGUUGGGCCUGGGUGGGGCCUGGGUCGGGCCCGGGUCACGGUCGGGCGGGGGCGGGGUCGGGCCGGGGGCAAGGUCUGCCGGGGGCGUGGCCUGCCGGGGGCAGGGUCGGGUCGCGGGUCGCGGGCCGGGGGCGGGGGCGGGGGCGGGCCCGGGUUGGGCCUGGGUCGGGCCUGGGUCGGGCCGGGGUCGCGGUCGGGCCGGGGGCGGGGUCUGCCAGGGAAGGGGUCUGCCGGGGUCGCGGUCGGGGUCUGCCGGGGCGUGGCCUGCUGGGGGCGUGGCCUGCGGGGCGGGGCCGGGUCGCGGUCGGGCCUGCCGGGGGCGUGGCCUACUGGGGGCGUGGCCUGCGGGGUCGGAGCCGGGUCGCGGUCGGGCCUACUGGGGGCGUGGCCUGCCGGGGGCGUGGCCUGCUGGGGGCGUGGCCUGCGGGGGCGGGGCCGGGUCGCGGUCGGGCCUGCCGGGGGCGUGGCCUGCCGGGGGCGUGGCCUUCCGGGGGCGGGGCGUCGGCGGUGCGCAGCUGCGGCGCGGGAGCCAAUCGGCGCGCAGCGGGCCGUCGCGCGAGCCGGGCGUGCGUCGGUGACGUCACGGUUGCCAUGGCGAGGGCCGCGGGCGGGCAGCGCGUCGGGGGAGCCGCGGCGCCAGCAUGA
rnacentral:lncRNA from 1 species